rnacentral:tRNA from 1 species
GCGGCAGUCGUAUAACGGCUCAUUACCCCAGCCUUCCAAGCUGGAGACGAGGGUUCGACUCCCUUCUGCCGCUCUA